CCGAGAAGUUCGUGACGAAUCGAAUUUACUGAAAGUUCGCUCAUCUCUAGUUUCUCAUCCAAAGUUUCCACUGAAACUAGACUAUGCUGUAUCUCCCAUAUUGUUUAAUAAGUACCUGUCACUUACAAAAAAAUUGAAAUGUCAAGUUUUUAAAUCCUGUCUGGGAGUUCUGGUCCCACGAUCUAUAGGGGGGUGGGGGACUGCACUGCUUCUCCCUGUGAAAGGCCCAUAAGCUAGGCAUAGCAGUCAUCUUAGUCACACGAAGCUGGGAGAGUGUUUUUAGCCAGCACUUCGUGUGACCUCAACACCCAGAACCCAACCAAUAAAACUUGACAUGUCAAUGCUUUUGCAAUUGCUAGUGCCAAUUUAAUACCUAUUGGGUCUUAUCUUUCAGCAUAGUGCUUUCUUGAAUUUGCUCUUUCCUGCUAAUCGCUAUCUCAGUUGCUCUUAUUUUUGGUGGUGCUGCUUGCAAGAUGCCAAAAUGGAAGCCUUAAAUUUGCAUUUUGUGGAAAGCUUUUAGAUGACAUUUAGACAGGUGGCCAUGUGCAAAUAAAUUCCAGGACACCUGAUUCUCUUCCAGCAUACCCUGUGAUUUUAACAUAGGAUGUAUGUCCUGGUACUUAUGGGACAGGACAUACACUUACAUCCUCCUAUACAUGAUGCGAGCACCAGAACAGUAUUGGCAGCAAGGGACCUGCCGGUAAUGGUGGAAGUCGGCUAUCAUGCUAUCUGCCAUUAACCCCCUCAGAUGCCAUGAUCAGUAAAGAUCACGGCGUCUGAUGCAAUGCAGGCGCUAAAAUGGAUGAUCGGAUCGACCGCUCAUGAUCGGAUCAUCCAUAAUGGCGGGCAGAGGUCCCCUCAACUGCCUCUGUCCUGCUCUGCUGUCAGACCAGAAGACCCCUGGAGACUGCCAAUAACACUGAUCAGUGCUAUGCCCUAUGAAUAGCACUGAACAGUAAGGGCAAUCAAAUGAUUGCUAUAAAUAGUCCCCUGUGGGGAAAUAGUGAAGAGAAAAAUUUUAUGUGAAAAAACCCUCCCUUAAUAAAGUAAAUCACUUCACAUUUUGCCCCCAAAAAGCGUAAAAAUAAACAUCAAAAUGAUCCCGUAUGGUGAACAGCGUAAACGUAAAAUAAAGUGCUGUCUUUUGUCAAAUUUAAAAGAGAAACUUAUCACAUAUGCAAACGUGGUACAGAUAAAAACUACAGAUCAUGGCGCAAAAAGCCCUCACCGUAUAUGAAAAGUAAUGGGUGGUCAAAAUAGGGCAAAUGUAAACAUACUUUUUUAACCCCUUUAACGACCAAGGACGGAUAUUUACGUCCUUGGCCAGCUCCCGCGAUAUAACGUGGGGUCAUGCAGUGACCCCGUGUCAUAUGGGUUCGGUCCCGUCAUGUAUCUGAAGCCGGGGCUAAUAACGCGCAGUAGCUAUCACGGUACUGCACGCUAUAAACACCUUUAGACGUGGCGUUCAAAGGUGAACGCUGCGUCUAAAACGAAAGUGAAACCUUCCUGGUUGAUCGGAGUGCAGUGGAAAUGCGGUGUCCCGAUCAGCUGGGACGCGAGCGGAUGUCCUCUUGCCUUCCUCCGGCGAUUGAUUGCUCCAAGUCUGAGAUGCAGGCUUGAGCAAUCGACUGCCGAUAACACUGAUCAAUGCAAAGCUAUUGCUUUGCGGUGAACAGUGUAUAAGAUUAGUGUGCAGUGUUAGCCCCCUAUGGGAGCUAUAAUACCGCAAAAAAAAGCAAAUAAAUGCCAUUUAACCCUUUACCUAAAGUCUAAAUCACCGCCUUUUCCCAUUAAAAAAAACAUGUAAAUAAAAAUAUAAACAUGUGGUAUCACCGUGUGCAUAAAUGUCUGAACGAUAAAAUAUAUAAUUAAACUGCACGGUCAAUGGCGUAUUGCUAAAGAAGUCCAAAUCAAUACAAAAAUGGUACCACUAGAGACCAGACCACAGCGCAAAAAGAUGAGCCCUCAUAACUCUCCGUACGCGGUAAAAUAAAGUUAUAGGGGUCGGAAAAUGACAAUUUUAAACAUAAAUUUUCCUGCAUGUGUGUUUUUAUUUUUAUUCCUCCCCCCCCCCCCGGAAGUAUGACAAAAUCAAACCUAUAUAAGUAGGGUAUUUUAAUCGUAUGGACCUACAGAAUAAACAUAAGGUGUCAAUUUUUACUGAAAUGUACUGCUUAGAAACGGAAUCCCCCAAAAGUUACAAAAUGGCGGGGGUUUUUUUCCUUCAAUUUCGUCACACAAUUUUUUUUUUUUUUUAUUUCGCUGUAGAUUUUUGGGUAAAAAAACUGAUGUCACUACAAAGUAGAAUUGGUGGUGCAAAAAAUAAGCCAUAAUAUGGAAUUUUAGGUGCAAAAUUGGAAGGGUUAUGAUUUUAAAGUGAGGAAAAACAAGUGGGAAAAACCCUUGGUCAUUAAGGGGUUACGUUUUUAAAAGCAGUACAAUAGUGUGUAAUCAUGGGUAUCAUUUUAAUGGUAUAGACCCAGAGUUAAGAAAACGUCAUUUUUAGCCAGCAGUGUACAGUGUAAAAACAAAACCCUCCAAUGACGGGAUGUAAAUGUAGGUCUUCAUUUAUAAUUUUCUCCCACAAAUAUUUGUUUGCACAAAUUUUAUGGUAAAACUAAAAGGGUCAUUACAAAGUACAGGAAAAGGUCAUGCAAAAAAUAAGCCCUCAUGGGUCUGUGGAUGGAAAUAAGUUAUGAUUUUUAGAAUGCAAGGAGGAAACAAAAAUGCAAAAAAAAAUUCCUGUCCUUAACCCCUUAGGGAAACAGCCCAUUUUGGACCUAAAGCAGGAGUCACACAUGGCAGUUUUGAAUAUCUGCUCAAGUAGCUGGCUCUUAUCAGUCUAUUUUUGGAAUGUAUACUAGCCCAAUGUGCACAGGAUAAGUAGCUGAUCGUGGAGUUCUGACCGCUGCCCCAUCCCACCCCCAAAUUGUUUGAAUGGGAUCCUGUCCUGCUCAGUCAGGAGUGCGUGUCAUUUAACUCUUGACAGCACGUGCCCCAUUGAAAUGGAUUGCGUUCCGUCUCUAGAGGUAGAUGACAUGUGCUUCUGACUGAGUCCAGUUUAGGAGAUUGCGGGGGACCCCCUGUUAUCAGCUACUUGUCCUAUCCUGUGGAUAGGGGUAAGUUAAUUCUAGCUGCAGUAACCUUUUAGACAGCUGUCCAUUCAAAUGAAUGGGGUUGUGACCUCCUUUUACAGGGAUGCUGAACUGUGAGUUAUUCCUAUUCUCAUCUAUAUACUGGUGUCUAGAGAGGAGUAAAGUUAGUGAUUCGAUUCGUCACAAACUUCUCGGCUCGGCGGUUGAUGACUUUAGCCUGCAUAAAUUAGUUCAGCUUUCAGGUGCUCUGGUGAGUUGGAAAAGGUGGAUACAGUCUUAGGAGACUCUCUCAUAGGACCUUUUCCAGCCCACCUGAACGCUGAACUAAUUUAUGCAGACUAAAGUAAGCAACGGCCGAGAAGUUGGUAUUGAAUCACUGUAAUGUCGCUCAUCUCUACUGUUGUCUCCUUAGUGAUGUAUACGAAUACUAUACAGAUCACUUUCCAGCAGACUGAACAGUCUCAGCUUAGUUUUAGACUUGGUAAGAAUGAAUACUGCAAGGUUUCAGUUAUUUAUAAUAUAGAUUGUUAAAUGGAAAAUUAUUUAAAAAAAACAGGUAAUUUUUUUUGACUCUGCACAGGCUAGAGAGCCACUGAAUGGAUGUGCCAUAUAAACAAGUGCUGUAUUAAUACCCUGUUUUUCUGUUUUCAGGAGCAAAGUAUACCUUAAUGCUGACUAUCUUAACUUGUACAGAAUGCAAUCGGUGCUGUCUUGUGUAAAGAUUGGCCCUGAUUUACUAUUGUAAACCUGGCAUGUCUGCGCUAGAAUUGAGAACCUAAUUCUCCAUUUUAUGGAGAACCCAAAAAAGGGGUGUGUCCCUGACACUUUCACAAAAACCCAACAUAUUUACUAAGGUUUCCCACAGCAAAUGUGGUGGAUUUGAGCUGAGGCAAACCUGACAGAUCAGAACAUGUGUAAAAAUAAAAAAAAACCUUAGUAAAUUCUAUGACUGACAAAAAUGACACUUCAGUGUAAAGUAGCUAAACAAAAAAAUUCACAAAAAUUCCCUUUAUUAUAAACCACAUAGAAACCCUAUUACACAAAUGUCCAAAAAUAUAAAAUCUACAGGUGGUGACAUCCUACUGAAUAAACAUUAUUCUCUUCAUAGACACCCUUUAAGUCCUAAUGUGUUUCCCCGUGUAUCUGAUACAUGGGUUCAUCAGGGGGAUCACAGAAUAACAGUAGUGGGAAAUCCACAUACAGAAAGGCAUACAUGUAAUCAAUGCAUACGAAUAGAGAUGAGCGAACUUACAGUAAAUUCGAUUCGUCACGAACUUCUCGGCAGUUGAUGACUUAUCCUGCAUAAACUAGUUCAGCCUUCAGGUGCUCCGGUGGGCUGGAAAAGGUGGAUACAGUUCAUAUCGUGCAGGGAAAAAUUUCGGUAUGACCCGGUAUACCUCCCAGCCCUAAGUUCAUUUCUUAGGUGGAGGGGAACUUCACACCACCAUCAUGCCUUCAUUCAAAAUCUGAAAUCGAAUGCAGUAUCCAUCUUGUUGGACAAUGUAAAGCUGUUCUCCACUGACUUCAAAUGGGUACCAUCGUGCUGUCCAUUGUUUUGAAGGAAGACUAGUAUUGCAUACUAUGCUCUUUCUUACCAUCAAAUCUGACAACUACCGAUCGCGUUACUUUCAAUACCCUGUUAGUGCAUUCUUCUUAAUAGUUGAGAGGGCAAAGUCUUUCCAGAAGAGUUGCCUUAUUCAUUUUGUCUUGUCCAUUGACAAUCAUAUAAUGCAUCACUUCCCUAUGGUGGUCUGCAGAGCAUUGAACACUGAAAUGUCCAGCACAACAGACAUCCUAGGAUCACUUGAAUCCAGCAUGCUGAUGUCAAGUAAGCAAACUAUGGAUAUUUCAGCCCUGUUUUAACCCCUUCUAAAAACAACUUUCAAUUUUUCCACCUGCAGACCAAUGUCUGUUUUUUGUGCCACCAAUCUCCCUUUGUAAUGACAUCCAUCAUUUCACCACUAAAUCUAUGGCAAAACCAGGGGAUAAAAAAACUGUUAGGGCAAAUUUGAAAAGAGAAGCCAUUUUGUAACUUUUUAGGGCUUUCAAUUCCACACAGUUCACUUUUUAAGACACUUUAUUCUGUAGGUCCAUAUAAUUAAAUGUUACCUAACUUAUAACUUUUUGUAUGAAAAAUAGCAUGUUUAAAUGUCCUUUCCCUUUAAAACUUUUUUUUAUUUUUCUGUAUACAGGGAUGUAUGAGGGCCCAUUCUUUUUUUGCGCCGUGUUUUCCUAUUUUUCCCCCCCAGGAAAAUUGUUUUGAUGGGACUUUUUUUUAUUUUAUUUAUUUUAUAAAAUAUAUAUUAUAAAUUAAACAAAGUGACCCAAAAUAUGCAAUUCUGGACUUUGGUAUUGACCGUACAGUUAAAGUAAUUUUACAUCUUUAUAGUUCAGACAUUUAGUGGCGAUACCACAUGCGUUUUUUUUUUUUUUUCCUUCUAAUACAUGCCACAGCAUAGAAUUGAUCAGUGUUAUCAGUGCUUUGCUGCUCCAGCCUGCCACUGACUGGAGUUUGGGAUUAUUGAUCUGACAGCGAGGAGGCAGGUAAGGGCCCUCCCGCCGUCCUCCCAGCUGAUCAGGAUAUGGUGGUUUUACUGCGGUUGUCCCAAUCAGCACCACUAAGUAGCUGGGAAGUCCAUUUUUAACAUUUUAGAUCAAAGUUGAUGUCCGGCAUUAGACGCGGCACUAUGAUCAGUUCCGGAGAGUGCGUCCUAGAAGGGGAGCAGGACAAGGGUGUACAGGAAUGCUUUUAGUCCUCAAGAGGUUAAUCAAUAGAUUGCUCUAAAAAUGCUUGUUAGUUUGGACAGGACAAGCGGGGCUCUGCAGGAUUCUGACUUGUCAUUCAUCCUCAUGUGUGAGCUGGGGGCACUUCAGAGCCUUACUGUACAUAGCCCUGCUUGUCCUCAGUGCGCAGAGCCCUGCUUGUCCACCCUCCCUUCCUGUACUUGGACUCCUCAUAGAGACACACAGGCAAUAGCUGCAGGGACAAAAAUACACACAUUUAUACCAAUGUAUAUUACAAAUAUACAUAUGGUAUUAUCUACGUUAUAACUUUUUUUGUUAAUGACAGGUACACUUUAGGAGUACCCUACUCCAUAGACACAGCUUGAGAUAAUAGGUUGGUGUGAGUAUUUGGAUAGAUAAAAUACCCUUUUAUAGCUCUUCCCCAUGUGUUGGCAGUAGUCAUCCCUUAGAGCAAUUGCCUUAAAUCAUGACUAGGGAUUAUCAUCCAAACCAGAAUCUCCUGCAGACCAACUCCGCGCAGGGUGUUUGUCAUCUAGAAGAGAGGCCUCUGACUUGAUCUGACUGAUCUGCUUGCCAGUCCCCAUCCACCUCCCCCACCUUUGACCAAUAGUGAGAAGAUGCAUUUAUUUAACCCCCACAAGCAAGAAUUUUUUUUCAAAGUAGACUAAAUUUUUAUGCAGUAACUUUUCUUAUCCCUAUUACAGAAUAUGAAGAAGCAGCUGUAUCAGAACAGUGUAGCUUAUAGAUGAACGCCUUUAAAUAGUAAUGUGAAUUGUGAUACAUAGAAUAACGCUGAAUUGUAAAUAACUUGUUAAUUUUUUUACAGUUCUGCCUGAGCCCUCAUAUGAAAGGGAAUCUGCCAGCUGUAUUUGCUAAGGGUUGUAGACUGUAACUUUUACGGCAUAAACUUAAACUGUACCUUUCCUGGAGCUGAUGGUGGUUGCUAGACUCCUUUUUAUAUCUUAUCAGAGUGUCAAAGAGGUGGUGCCAAGUUGCUGCUUUGCCACGGCCUGGCACAGCACUUUGCUUCUCUUCAUCACUUAAUCCUACUUUGAUUGUAAUUCCAGCCCUGCACAUCAGUCACAGGUUAGGAGGUGCCAGGCUGUAGCACUUUAGCACCUUGGCUCCACCUCUUUGACACUUGACUGAAAAAAAAGGCGACUUUAUAAGUUUGGCAACUCCAGGAACGAUUGUUGUGGUUUAACAACUUGCCAAAGCGGACUACAAGUACUGCUGACCGAUUCCCUUUUAAGCUCUAAAGAAAAAAGAUUGAUACCUUUUUUUUAUGUUUAGUAUGCAGAAAAACUUCUCAACAAUCCUCAUAUAUUUCCCUUUAAAGGGUCCACUAACUUUGCAGCCAAGUAUUUAGAUUGAUGUUUCAGUGUUCUUUGUGCGGGACGUCUGAGUACAAAAAAUGAUCGUGAAGUGCAACAAAUCUGAACUGUAUAAGAUGGUAGUAAUGGUAGCUUAUCAUGCAGAGCCUCGAUUUACAAAAGUGCAGGGUUUUAUAUAAAUUGAGGAAAUCCGGAAUAGCAGAUUACAACAUUGCUAAACAUAAGAAAUAGAGAACUGAAGUGAGUUCUUUGACUUGGUUUAGAUUAGUUAAUUUGAGUUUUUAUUACACAUGUAAUAAAACAGAUUGCACUUUAGUAAAUCUAGGUUGGACAGUCCAGAUGCCACAGCCUUAAAGGGGUACUCCGGUGGAAAACUUUAAUAUUUAUAAAUAAAUAAAAAUUUUAAAUCAACUGGUGCCAGAAAGUUAAACAGAUUUUGUAAAUUACUUCUAUUAAAAAAUCUGAAUCCUUCCUGUACUCAUUAGCUGCUGAACACUACAGAGGAAAUUCUUUUCCUUUUGGAACACAGAGCUCUCUGCUGAAUCACGAGCACAGUGCUCUCUGGACAGUUCCUAAAAAGGACAGAUGUCAGCAGAGUAGGAGAAAAUCCCUAUAGCAAACAUGCUGUCCUAAAAUGGACCAAGAUGUCAGCAGAGAGCUCUGUGUUCCAAAAAGAAAAGAAUUUCCUCUAGUAUUCAGCAGCGAAGUACGAAGAUUUUUUUUUUUUUUUUUUUUUAAUAGAAGUAAUUUACAAAUCUGUUUAACUUUCUGGCACCAGUUGAUUUAAAAAAUAAAAAUUCCACCGGAGUACCCCUUUAAAGGGGUACUCCGCUGCUCAGCGUUUGGAAAAAAUGUGCCCGAACGCUGGAGCUGGCGUCGGGAGAUCGUGACGUCAUUGCCCAGCCCCCCUCAUGAUGUCACGCACCACCCCCUCAAUGAAAGUCUAUGGGAGGGGCGUGACGCCCCUCCCAUAGACUUGCAUUGAGGGGGCGUGUCUAUGACGUCACGAUCUCCCGGCUCCAGCGUUCGGAUUAGUUUGUUCCAAAAGCUGAGCAGGGGAGUACCCCUUUUAACUUUUAGGGUUUUUCUGUACUAAGAUUGAUGGCCCGUCCUUAGGCUUGGCCAUUGCUCUUUCAUCUGUGGUGGUCUGACACUCGCCAUUUUAGCCCUAUGAGGGGACUUUGGUAUGUUUAUGAUAGCAAAGUCCUCUAUAAAGUACUGCGAUUCCUCUGUUGCCUUCUGCUCCUUAGUCCUGUGACUAGUACUAAGCUGCAGUACCAGACACUACCACUGGUGAGCCCACUGUCAGGAAACCAUUGAUGAACUAUACUAAGGAUAGGCCAAGUUCUGGAAAACCCUAUUGUUGUAUUCCAAUAUACUUCAAAGUGUACCUUCGAUUGGUCAGUUUUCAGCAGUAAACAUGCUGCACUGUGCACAAUAGUAUUUUUCUCUAAAUGACAUUGUCCCUGAUUUCAUCAAAAUGUGAGGAAAAAACUAGAGCUUAUUCAAAUCUCAACCAAUCAUAGCUCAGCUUUCAGUUCUUAACCCAUUCUGAUAAAGUGAAAGCUGAGCUGUGAUAGGUUGCUGUGGAUUUUUCUCAGAUUUUAAAUUAGGCACCCAAAUGUCUGACCAUGGUGCUAUUCUCCCUGUAUAUAAAUAUGCAAUAGGAAAUUAAGCUUACUGUUCAGUCUCUGCAGUAUCCGUCUCCAGCGUGAGACCCCGCGUGCUGUAGAAUCAUAACAUUUGUGUUGCAGACGGAGCAGAAAACUUAAUUUCCUGUUCCAUAAUGACACAUGACAGGGAGAAUGGUGCCCCGUUUUGACAAGAGAAUUUUAUGGAAUUUAGGAAAACUGCUGUAGUGCACAAGAGAAGGAAAGCAUCGGGGGUACCAUUUAAAGGAGUUAUCCAAGAAAAACUUUUUUUUAUAUAUAUCAACUGGCUCCAGAAAGUUAGAUUUGUAAAUAACUUCUAUUAAAAAAUCUUAAUCCUUUCAACAAUUAUCAGCUGCUGAAGUUGAGUUGUUGUCGUUUUCUGUCUAGCAACAGUGCUCUCUGCUGACAUCUCUGCUUGUCUCUGGAACAGCACAGAGUAGAAGAGGUUUGCUAUGGGGAUUUGCUUCUAAACUGGGCGGUACCCGAGACACGUGUCAUCAGAGAGCACUUAGACAGAAAAGAACAACUCAACUUCAGCAGCUCAUAAGUACUGAAAGGAUUAAGAUUUUUUUAAUAGAAGUAAUUUACAAAUCUGUUUAACUUUCUGGAGCCAGUUGAGAUAGAAAACAAAAUUUCCUGGAUAACCCCUUUAAAGAGGCCACAAUAUAUAUUAGUGUACUGUUUGGAGUUAAGCGUUAUCUUCUUUACUAGACAAUGCUAAGCUGUCCUGCCUUAUAGACCAGUGGAUUACAUGAGACCUUUCUAGCACAGCACCUCUAUCGCCAUUACGGUAUGGACUCAGUCAGCAUUAUUAAAGGAGUUACAGCAGGAACAAGAACUGCAAGUUUCCAAGAAGUGAAUGCAGGAUUUACUAUGCUGAUAGUGAGGAGCUGCCCCAAGACUAGUUACAGCUGAAAUACGAAGACAGUCUAGGAAGAGUUCAACAUCAUUUGGAGCCUACUAGAAUGAUAGCUACUGUACUACAGGUGUGACAGAAAGCCAAUAGGUCUAGCAGUGAGACCUGAAAGCAAGGGCCAUAAGAAUAGGAGGCAUGGAAUAGAUUGGUGAAUCAUGGACACCAGGAAAAGUCCUGGCUUCUCUGGGCUCCAUCCAUUAGGAAAAUUCUAAGGAUACUGUAUACUUAGAAAUGUCCCCCGAGAAGAUCUGUGAAAGAGCGCUUGGAUGUCUUCAGAUUAAUACUGUGGUCUAAGAAGCUGGACUUGACUUAAAAGAACAGGAAGAAAGAAGAAACCUAAUUUGUUGCUGUAUUUGGAAAUCAGUUUUUUUUUUUUCUCUGCCAUUUUUAAAUCAGAAAUAAAUUUUGAUAUAAAGUA